AGAUAGUUCAGUUGGUAGAGCACCUGACUAGAGAUUUAGGAAGCCCAGGUUCGAGCCCUGGUCU
rnacentral:tRNA from 1 species